rnacentral:tRNA from 1 species
GCGCCAUUAGCUCAGCGGAUAGAGCGCCGCGCUUCGAACGCGGUGGUCGGGGGUUUGAAUCCUCCAUGGCGCG